GCUGUGUAAAAUAAAUAAAAAUAACGAGUCUUUUGACAAUAAAAAAAAUUGAAAAACUCUUCAAUUAAUAGAAUAAGGAUAGCAGAGGGGUCAAAUCCUAUGGGGAUGCUUCAAACAAAAUAUGGCUGACCAAAGAUAUAUUUAUGUACGAACUUAAUCAAAUAAAAUUAAGAGAAGAGAUGAGAAGUACAUAUAUUGCACCAAACAUGAGACUAGCAGCAACACUGAAAAUAUUAGCAAGUGGUGGUUACCAAUAGCAAGCGGGAGGCCCACAUCAGGCACUCUGUUAAAGAUCAUUCCAAUAGAUAAUUUUUGGAUUAUUUAUGAAAAGCGCUUCCAGUCAUUUAAGGGAUGGCCCAAUAAAAAAAAAUACAAUUGUCCUGGAGUUGGCGUUGUCGUCGAUGCGUACCUGCAGUUGUUAAAACUUGUAGAAAAUUACCAGCUAUAUUUUAAUAGGAAAGGAAAGUUAAGAAUCA